rnacentral:rRNA from 3 species
AAAUUGAAGAGUUUGAUCAUGGCUCAGAUUGAACGCUGGCGGCAGGCCUAACACAUGCAAGUCGAACGGUAACAGGAAGCAGCUUGCUGCUUCGCUGACGAGUGGCGGACGGGUGAGUAAUGUCUGGGAAACUGCCUGAUGGAGGGGGAUAACUACUGGAAACGGUGGCUAAUACCGCAUAACGUCGCAAGACCAAAGAGGGGGACCUUCGGGCCUCUUGCCAUCAGAUGUGCCCAGAUGGGAUUAGCUGGUUGGUGA